UGGAGGCAGCAGUGGGGAAUAUUCCGCAAUGGGCGAAAGCCUGACGGAGCGACGCCGCGUGGAUGAUGACGGUCUUCGGAUUGUAAAGUCCUGUAGAGGGGGAAGAAGGGUGGCGCAAGCCAUUUGACAGUACUCCUAAAGUAAGCUACGGCAAACUCUGUGCCAGCAGCCGCGGUAAUACAGAGGUAGCUAGCGUUGUUCGGAAUGACUGGGUGUAAAGCGCGUGCAGGUGGUUUCGUAAGUUGAAUGUGAAAUCCAUUGGCUCAACCAAUGAACGGCAUUCAAAACUGCGUUACUUGAGUGCGGAAGAGGAAAGUGGAAUUUCGGGUGUAGCGGUGAAAUGCGUAGAUAUCCGAAGGAACACCGGUGGCGAAGGCGACUUUCUGGUCCGCAACUGACACUGAGACGCGAAAGCUAGGGGAGCAAACAGGAUUAGAUACCCGAGUAGUCCG
rnacentral:rRNA from 1 species